GUAGACAUAGUUUAAUAAAAACACUAGAUUGUGAUUCUAGAAACAGAGGUUGAAAUCCUCUUGUUCACC
rnacentral:tRNA from 1 species